CUCAGCUAUUUCUUCAUUAUGUCUGAUUAAUGAUAAUUGAAAUAGCUGACAUCAAUAAUUUUGUCAGAACUAGAACAAUAUCUUUCUAGUUUGGUCUUUUUGCUAUCAAAUUUGGUCUGCAAUUAUCGGGCGUGGUAUUUUGCUUUCGGCAAUUUUUGAGCUUUGGGUUUUAGGAUAAUUGGGUUUCUCUAAAGGAAUGAACCAAUUAAAAGAUUGAAUUUUGGACCCAAAUCUGGACCUUUCUGGCCCAAUUUUCAAUUCAAUGGGCGGGACGGCGGCUCUCUUCCUGUUUAUUUCUAAAGAAAUUCUAGGGUUUAUAAGUUCAAUCCUCCCAUUUCUGAAUAUUCUCUUCGUUUUUAGUUUGUCCGAUUUCUGAAAUUCCGGAAGACUUGGCGAAAAAUAGAAACAAGAAGAAGAGAAAUGGCGUCGCUUCGAUGUGCGUCAACGAUGGAACUGUUCCCGAUCUUCCUCAACAAUGGCUGCUUCAGAGACUGGAGUUCAAAAGCCUGAUUCUGCUAGUGCAAAACUGGAAGUGUUACUUUAUCUACUAUAUUUUUGUUUGUUUGUUAGCUUCUACAAAAAAAGAAAGAAUUAGUUAUUUAAAGAAGGAAUUAAUUACUUAAUGAUGAAAAUGGUUGUUUCUCACAUGCAUAUAUCAUAUAGACAUAGGCUUACGUAUGUGUAAGAUUGGAUUGUAGUUGAAGUCUUUUACUUGUAUUUGGUUGAAAGUUCUAGGGAUAUAAUAGCAUGUGGGAGGUGAAUUGUUAAUGUUCUAUGGAUUUGAUACGAUAGCAUAUUCGGGGAUAGCAUGAUUUAAGGGCAAAUGCAAAUAUCGAGCACAAUUCUGGACAGAAAACAUGAUUGAGAAGUGAAUUUUACAUUGAUGCCUUCUUGUUUAGAUGAGUAUUUUCAUUAAUGAUCUCUGCAUUUUGAUUGGUAGCAUGAUUGGAACGUGUUCUUUGGAUUCUUCUAAGCUCGCAUUUAGUUCUGGAUAUGUGUACUUCUGAGUUUAUCAGGGAUUGUUAGUUUGUUAGUGAUAACAUGCUGUAAUGUUUAUGCUUGGCCUUGUUUCUCUUUGGCAGUUUGUGACUCUUAUCGGCUUCAUCUUCUCUUCUUGCAAGCUUGUUUCACUUUAUUGUGAUUCUCGGAAUUCAAGGCUUUUUAGUUUUGUUUUUUUAGUGAUGUUGUUUUUCUAGAUAAUAAAACCCACCAUAACAAAGUUUUAUUCACAUAGAAAAGUUAUGGCCACUUUGCGGACUCCUGUUAAUCUGAUUCCCAUUUUUGAAAUGAUUUUCUUCAUGGCGUGCAUAACUUGCAUCAUGUUUAUAAAUUUACAAAUGAGGCCAAGCCCGAGAGGAAUAUCCACUUUUGAAAUGAUUUUCUUCGUGGCAUGUGAUAAUUACAUCAUGUUUAUAAAUUUUUGAACAAGCCCAAGCCUCAAACGGAUUUCCAUUUUUGAAAUGAUUUUCUUCGUGGCAUGUUUUAAUUACAUCAUGUUUAUAAAUUUACGAACGGGGCCAAGCCCGAAAGGUAUUUCCAUUUUUGAAAUGAUUUUCUUUGUGGCAUGCGUUAAUUACAUCAUGUUUAUAAAUUUACAAAUGAGCCCAAGCCCGAAACACUGUUGCCGUUACGGAACAUACUUCUUUAAAAGCCGUAAUCUUAACGCGUCUUUGUUCAACUUCAUUCUAUUGUGUCAUUGUUAUCUCCUUAUUCUGUUUCACCAAACCACUAACUCUCUACCUAUCUUGAAACAGAAAGACGAAGAAGGGACGACCAAUGAAGAGAUUGAAAAAUGUUCAGAAGAUGAAGACGGUGGAAAAAGCUAUUGCUAUGAAUGAGAAGUAUGCGGAGAAAAGCUCCAAGAUCAAAAGUGUAUAUGUCAUGUUUUCGUAACGUAUUUGCUGUGUAUACUACAGUUCAAAAAUGAGAUGACAAAUUAGGUGAUGUGGAAAUAAGUGGCUGACAAGGGGCUGAAGCAUCUUUUGCAUGUAACUGUCAAGGCCAACACCUGUUUGAAGCAGGAAGAGGAAUCUGUGUCUCUUAAAAAGCUUCGAUAACACCCAAGUUCAAAAAAUGAUACGACAAAUUAGGUGCUGUGGAAAUAGGUGGCUGACAAGGGGCUGGAGCAUCUUUUGCAUGUAACUGUUGAAGCCAACACUUGUUUGAAGCACGGAGAGGAAUUUUUAUCACUUAGAAAGUUCCAAAACCACCCAAAGUUUUAAUCCACUACAGUAUCUUAAACAUUACAUUUGUUGCUAUAUACACCUAGGAGUUAUAGGUGUAUAGCAUAUAACAAUAGAAAAUAAUGUUUAAGAUGCCGUUAGGCAUGUUUGUAGUGGACUAAAAUUUUGAUUGGCUUUGGAUCAAUCCAACUGUCCAGAAAGGGUGGAAGAGUAACUAAAAAAAUGAUAGGAAGAGGAAGAGAGUAGUUUGGCUGGGGCGUAUCGAUGUCUAUGUCAAUGUGACUAAAAUUUCGAGGGAGAACGGUAAGAUUUACCUCUCUACUUUAAUAGAAUUAAGGGUGAACAAAAUUUGGUUCGACUCGAAAAAAAUAAAAAUAAAAAGUUUGAAUUUCAAAUUAUUCGAAUCAA